rnacentral:rRNA from 1 species
UACGUAGGGUGCGAGCGUUGUCCGGAAUUACUGGGCGUAAAGAGCUCGUAGGCGGUUUGUCGCGUCGUCCGUGAAAACCCGAGGCUCAACCUCGGGCCUGCAGCCGAUACGGGCAGACUAGAGUUCGGCAGGGGAGACUGGAAUUCCUGGUGUAGCGGUGAAAUGCGCAGAUAUCAGGAGGAACACCGGUGGCGAAGGCGGGUCUCUGGGCCGAUACUGACGCUGAGGAGCGAAAGCGUGGGGAGCGAACAGG